rnacentral:rRNA from 1 species
CCUACGGGAGGCAGCAGUCGAGAAUCAUUCGCAAUGGACGCAAGUCUGACGGUGCGACGCCGCGUGGAGGAUGAAGGCCUUAGGGUCGUAAACUCCUGUCAUCAGGGAGUAAGGCUUUAUAUAGUAACUGAUAUAAGGAUUGAUAGUACCUGAAGAGGAAGGGACGGCUAACUUCGUGCCAGCAGCCGCGGUAAUACGAAGGUCCCAAGCGUUGUUCGGAUUUACUGGGCGUAAAGCGUCUGUAGGCGGCGAGGUAAGUCAGAUGUGAAAUCCCAGGGCUCAACCCUGGAACUGCAUCCGAUACUGCCUUGCUAGAGGGUCGGAGGGGAGUCUGGAAUUCUCGGUGUAGCAGUGAAAUGCGUAGAUAUCGAGAGGAACACUAGUGGCGAAGGCGAGACUCUGGACGACACCUGACGCUGAGAGACGAAGGCCAGGGUAGCGAAAAGGAUUAGAUACCCUUGUAGUCCUGGCAGUAAACGGUGCACGCUUGGUGUGCGGGGAAUCGACCCCCUGCGUGCCGGAGCUAACGCGUUAAGCGUGCCGCCUGGGGAGUACGGCCGCAAGGUUAAAACUCAAAGGAAUUGACGGGG